AGUUUAUCAUGUACAAGGAUGUUUUUAUGAAAAAUUAAAAUGUGUGAUCCUAUAUAUAUCAGUUUUAUUGGAGAGAAAGCAGUUGGUAAGAGCUCUAUCAUUGCUACCUAUGAGUCUGGAAAUUACAAUCCUGAUUUGUAUGCAACAGAGAGUGUGGAGACGCAUAUCAUAAAUGCCACUUCUGUUGGGAGUUUAAGAGUUUACAUACAUGACAUGGCAGGAGAGACACGUGAGGCGACAGUUAUAGCGUUAUGUGCCACAUGUAACGUAAUUGUUCUUGUUUACGACAAGACUUAUAGACAAAGUUUCGGUAAGAUUGACGAUUUCCACAAAAUCAUUAUACAACAUAUAGAUUCAGAGAAGGUAGUUGUUGUUCUGUUGGGAAACAAAAUAGACGAAACACACAAAGAAGAGGUGACCACAGACGAAGGUUAUAAUAAACACAAAUAUCUGAAGACAGACUUUUUCAUAGAAACAUCAGCAAAGACAGGACACAACAUAAAUGUACUUUUCAAAACAAUUGAGGAAGAAGUAAAAAACAAGCGGGAAAAGACCAUAGAAGUUUUCCAGAAAGAGGAAACUGAAUAUUUGAUAGACCCUCAAAUUCAAACUUACAUUUGCCCUUGUACAUGUAAAUGCAUUUGUCCAUCUCGCCCGUGCUUGUUUUCAUGCCAUUGUUGUGUAUGUACAUUAUUGUAGACAGUGAUAUGAAUGAUAUAAAAACAAUAGAUGAAAUAUGUGAAUAUUAAACACACACUUUUCUGAUCUCAUUCAGCUGCAGCAAAUGAUGUGAAGCACUGCAUCUUGAAGUUUAUUUAUCAAAUAAAGAUAAAUAUUGUAA